UCCAUUGGUGGGCAUGGAAUGCUGUUCUCCUUUUGGAAGCAAUGGAAUAUUAUUGGGAGACUUGAGAAUCUCCUCUCCCUCUCCCUCUCUCUCUCUCUUUCUUUGAAUAAUGAACUUCUUGCCUCUCUUCUCUACUCUCUCUCUCUCUCUCUCUCUCUCCCUUUAUGUGAGGAAUAAAGAGCGUAGGCAUGCUGUUGUUGCAGGCUCAUCAGCUUAUUUGACGGAAGCUCCAACUCCAACUGGUUUUAUACGUCUCAAAGCUCUUCUUCCAUAUUCCUGUGCCAACAUGAAGAGACCAAACAGGUACAAUAUGCAAAGAUGAAGCUUUUCUAGAAUUGAAAACAAGAAACAUGGACUGCUUCCUCCAUCGGCAUCGGUUCUUCUACGUGACAUCCAUGUGACUAGGCACCCUGAAUUAGAACAGCGUGUGUCAGCAGAGGAUAUUUGAUUCCAUAGAAAUGCACAAACAUACAAGAAAGAGGAAAAGAUCCUCAGUAAUCCUUACCAGAGGUUUCCUUGGUCAAAUUUGUCCAAUCAUGCGGGCUAAUCUUUGUUUCUGAUGCAUUAAUCAACUCAAGAAGAGCUUGAUUGACCUAAAAUUUUAUUUUAAAAUUUACAAAAAUUCAGCUUCACAAA